UUCUUACAUCUCGACGACAUCUGGGUGUCAAGGCGGGCUAAAAGAAAAAAUAGACGAGCUUGGCUCCAUCGCUGACAACUUGAAUAAGGUUUCAAAGGGGACAAAAAUCGCUGGCAUCACAGGAGGCGCUACAACUGUAGCAGGAGGUGUGGCAGCAGCUGCUGGGGUGAUCCUGUCCCCGUUCACGCUGGGAGCCUCGCUGGCACUAACUGCUGUCGGGGUCGGCGUGGCUGCAGCCGGCGGUGUUACUGGUGCAUCAGCAGCCAUCGCAAAUAAGGUGAAAUGCAACCAGGACCAGAAGAAAAUUGACAAG